UACGUAGGGGGCUAGCGUUGUCCGGAAUCAUUGGGCGUAAAGAGCGUGUAGGCGGCCCGGUAAGUCCGCUGUGAAAGUCGGGGGCUCAACCCUCGAAUGCCGGUGGAUACUGUCGGGCUAGAGUGCGGAAGAGGCGAGUGGAAUUCCUGGUGUGGCGGUGGAAUGCGCAGAUAUCAGGAGGAACACCAAUGGCGAAGGCAGCUCUCUGGUACGUGACUGACGCUGAGACGCGAAAGCGUGGGGAGCGAACAGG
rnacentral:rRNA from 1 species